rnacentral:rRNA from 1 species
AACGUAGGACACAAGCGUUAUCCGGAGUUACUGGGCGUAAAGGGCGUGUAGGCGGACCUAUAAGUCUAUUCUGAAAGCUCCUGGCUAAACUGGGAGAGGCGAAUGGAGACUGUAGAUCUAGAGUGAGGAAGAGGAAAGUGGAAUUCCGCGUGUAGUGGUGAAAUGCGUAGAGAUGCGGAGGAACACCAGUGGCAAAAGCGACUUUCUGGUCCUUAACUGACGCUGAGGCGCGAAAGCAUGGGGAGCGAACGGG